ensembl:lncRNA
AUGGUCUAUCAAGGCCUGUCCCAUGUCUGCCUAUUGUGGCUAUCAGUGUCUGGCCUAUCGUGGCUAUUUCUGUACGGUCUAUCGAGACCUGUCCGUGUCCGGCUAUCAUGGCUAUUUUUCUGUACGGUCUAUCAAGGCCUGUCCCAUGUCUGCAUAUUGUGGCUAUCUGUGUCUGGCCUAUUGUGGCUAUUUCUGUACGGUCUAUCGAGACCUGUCCGUGUCCGGCUAUCAUGGCUAUUUUUCUGUAUGGUCUAUCAAGGCCUGCCCCAUGUCUGCAUAUUGUGGCUAUCUGUGUCUGGCCUAUCGUGGCUAUUUCUGUACGGUCUAUCGAGACCUGUCCGCGUCCGGCUAUCAUGGCUAUUUUUCUGUACGGUCUAUCAAGGCCUGUCCCAUGUCUGCAUAUUGUGGCUAUCUGUGUCUGGCCUAUCGUGGCUAUUUCUGUACGGUCUAUCGAGACCUGUCCGUGUCCGGCUAUCAUGGCUAUUUUUCUGUAUGGUCUAUCAAGGCCUGUCCCAUGUCUGCCUAUUGUGGCUGUCUGUGUCUGCCUAUAGUGGCUAUUUCUGUACGGUCUAUCGAGACCUGUCCGUGUCCGGCUAUCAUGGCUAUUUUCUGUAUGGUCUAUCAAGGCCUGUCCCAUGUCUGCCUAUUGUGGCUAUCUGUGUCUGGCCUAUCCUGGCUAUUUCUGUACGGUCUAUCGAGGCCUAUCUGUGUCUGGCUAUAAUGGCUAUUUCUGUACGGCCUAUCGAGGCCUGUCUGUGUCUGCCUAUCGUGGCUGUCUGUGUCUGGCCUAUCGUGGCUAUUUCUGUACGGCCUAUCAAGGCCUGUCCGUGUCCGGCCAUCAUGGCUAUUUUUCUGUAUGGUCUAUUGAGGCCUGUCCUGUGUCUGCCUAUUGUGGCGAUUUCUGUACGGCCUAUUGAGGCCUGUCUGCGUCUGCCAUUGUGGCUGUCUGCGUCUGGCCUAUCGUGGCUAUUUAUGUACGGCCUAUCGAGGUCUGUCUGCGUCUGCCUAUCGUGGCUAAUCAUGGUCUAUCGAGGCCUGUCUUGCGUCUGCCUAUCGUGGCUGUCUGCGUCUGGCCUAUUGUGGCUAUUUAUGUACGGUCUAUCGAGGCCUGUCUGUGUUGGCUAUCAUGGCUAUUUCUGUAAGGUCCAUCGAGGCCUGUCCGUGUCCGCCUAUCGUGGCUGUCUGCGUCUGGCCUAUUGUGGCUAUUUCCGUUGGUCUAUCGAGGCCUGUCCGUGUCUGGCUAUCAUGGCUAUUUUUCUGUAUGGUCUAUCAAGGCCUAUCUGUGUCUGGCCAUCAUGGCUAUUUCUGUACGGUCUAUCAAGGCCUGUCUGCGUCUGCCUACUGUGGCUGUCUGUGUCUGGCCUAUCGUGGCUAUUUAUGUAUGGUCUAUCGAGGCCUGUCUUUGUCUGGCUAUCAUGGCUAUUUUUCUGUACGGUCUAUCGAGGCUGUCUGUGUUCUGCCUAUCAUGGCUAUUCUGUAUGGUCUAUCGAGGCCUGUCUGCGUCUGCCUAUCGUGGCUGUCUGCGUCUGGCCUAUCGUGGCUAUUUCUGUUGGUCUAUCGGGGCCUGUCUGUGUCUGCCUAUCGUGGCUGUCUGCGUCUGGCCUAUCGUGGCUAUUUAUGUACGGUCUAUUGGGGCCUGUCUGUGUCUGCCUAUUGUGGCUGUCUGCGUCUGGCCUAUCGGGCUAUUUAUGUUCGGCCAAUUGGGGCCUGUCCGCGUUUGCCUAUCGUGGCUGUCUGCGUCUGGCCUAUCGUGGCUAUUUAUGUUCGGCCUAUCGAGGCCUGUCUGUGUCUGCCUAUCGUGGCAUUUCUGUUGGUCUAUCGAGGCCUGUCUGUGUCUGCCUAUCGUGGCAUUUCUGUUGGUCUAUCGAGGCCUGUCUGUGUCUGCCUAUCGUGGCAUUUCUGUUGGUCUAUCGAGGCCUGUCUGUGUCUGCCUAUCGUGGCAUUUCUGUUGGUCUAUCGAGGCCUGUCUGUGUCUGCCUAUCGUGGCAUUUCUGUUGGUCUAUCGAGGCCUGUCUGUGUCUGCCUAUCGUGGCAUUUCUGUUGGUCUAUCGAGGCCUGUCUGUGUCUGCCUAUCGUGGCAUUUCUGUUGGUCUAACGAGGCCUGUCCGUGCCUGCCUAUCGUGGCUGUCUGUGUCCUGCCUAUCGUUGCUGUCUGUGUCUGGCCUAUUUCUGUAA